UCGCUAGUAAACGCGGAUCAGCAUGCCGCGGUGAAUACGUUCCCGGGCCUUGUACACACCGCCCGUCACACCACGAGAGUUUGUAACACCCGAAGUCGGUGAGGUAACCUUUAUGGAGCCAGCCGCCUAAGGUGGGACAGAUGAUUGGGGUGAAGUCGUAACAAGGUAGCCGUAUCGGAAGGUGCGGCUGGAUCACCUCCUUUCUAAGGAUAAUACGAGCGCGCUUUUGUUUUGUUCAGUUUUGAAUGAGUAAUUCAUUCUUUUUACUUUGUUCCUUGAAAACUAGAUAAUAGAUAGAAGGCAAUUAAUUUUUUUCAAAGCAUCUGUAAGACUUUUUUAACGGUUAAGUUAGAAAGGGCGCACGGUGGAUGCCUUGGCACUAGGAGCCGAUGAAGGACGGGACUAACACCGAUAUGC
rnacentral:misc_RNA from 1 species